GACUCUUCUAUUAGUUUCAGUGUAUCUAGUUUUUGGUGGAGGUCUUUGAUUUUGCUUCUCUCUCUUAUAGCUCAUGUUCAUCUAAGAAAGGUAAGAGAACUAAUCAUAAAGAGAAACUUGAAUGUGUCAGACUGAAAGCUAUUAAUUGUUAUCAGUCAGAAAAAAAAGAUUGACAACUCCCAUGUUCUAAGUGUUGAUGGAAUCAGAGCACAUAUUCUCAGAGCUCAGGUGGAGGAUUCUGUAGCCUUUUAAAGGCAUACAAGACAAGUAGUAUCUUCCUUUCCUGAUGGAUCACUUACAAGGUGUUUGCUCAACAACCUGUGGACACAACUUUUUUGGUCCAUUCUUUGAAAACAGAUAUCACGGUGAGUAGAGAAAGUAAGAGGGCACAGGCAGCAUGGCAGGCAUGCCAAGAAUGGUUUCCUUAUUGCAUCUUAGAAAUUAAAAUUUCCACUGCGUUGCGCAGUCAGCAAAAUAACCUGGCCUCUGUUUCUCCUCUCAGCAACAUGCCUGUCAGAGUGUUCACAGGUUCUCUUCCUAGCCCACUACACAGACAUAUGUGAUUUAUUCAGAAAGUCACUCACCACCUUAAUUUGUAUAUAUAAAAAUAAAUGUAAUAUACAUGCUACGAACUGAACGUGAAUUUAUUUGCAUUAUUUCCAGCCACAGAGACAAGCUUCAUUCUCACAAUUAAAGCUAUUGUCUGUGUCUACAAUAUGCACCAGUCUACAUUGAGAAGUACAGUUCUCAUGAAUUAUUCCUGCUUCUCUUACUCAAUUUCCAAAUCUAUUUAGCUUUGCAAUUGCACCAAUACCAUGAGGAAGCAUUUGUGGUACCUUUACUGAUCCUCCGAAGACGCCUGCACCAGCAGUGAGGAGAAUUCUGGGGCAGCAUAUUGAAGCAUGCUUCUCUCCUACAUCUGCUUAGUCACAGCUUCUUGUUGAAUGCUAUAAGACUUCAGCGCAAUCCUGGAUCCAAGAUACAGGUUAAAGCCAAGAAGAAAAGAGCAGUACUUGGGGAAAAUGACGCUUAAACGAUCUUUCUGUGUCUUUAGCAAAAAUAGUUAAUUUAAGGUUUUUAAUAAUGCAUUUCCACUCAAUAUUACUUCAUUCAGAGUUAGACCAAACACUCUGAUAUAAUGGUGUACUUAAAAAUGACCUGUUGAGGUUCAGAAACAUCACAGGCUGGUUUUUAUUAUGUAGUAUUUCAAAGCUCAUUUACUUAAAUUUUUAAAUAUAGAAAAAAAACCACCUAGUAUCAUUCUAGUAAUAAUGUGAAAGUACUGGAAUGUUCAAAUUCUAACAGGUGAUUUUUAGGGUAUCAUAUAAAUAGACAGUGGAGGAUUUGAGAGCAAGGGGAAUGGAUCUGAACCCACUUUUCAUUUCAGCCAACCCAACAGUUGCAAAACUUUGAGAGCAUCCAUGCCCUUUUCAUCAGUCCGGCAUGUGAUUUUCCAGUGGGGCGGCUCCAUCUAAAAGGAUACUUUAAUGUCAUAUGGACAUUAUGUCUAUAGAACCUCAUUACCUUCUACUCAUGUACAAAUCACACUCAUGGGAUGCAGAGAAGUCAAUAGACUGCUUGCUGAGCAUGCACGAUACCUUGGAUCCCAUUCUCAAUUCUGUAUAGACUGGGCAUCAUGAAGUCCGCCUAUGCCCUAGCACUUGGGAGGUAGUAAUAGUUGUUCAGAAGUUCAGCAUCUCACGACUUGCCUUGCCGACUACGAAUACUUAGAAGUUAUUCUGGAAUCUGGGACCAGAAAUAAGGAAAUACUCACAAAGACUGAAAGAGCCAACAGCACUUGUUAAAGGAGCAGAGGAGACAAUCAAAUGGAGACUGGGGUGCCCAUGGCCAAAGCUGGAAGAACCCAAGCAACAAAAUAAAUUGCUGAGAGUUGAAGGCUCAAGCAUAAAAUAAAAACCCAUGAGUCCAAAGACACUGCCGGCAAAAUAAGUAAAUGGAGACUAGAUGCCUCUGCUGGGAAGAGUAUCAAAUCACUUGUGGAGUUGCAAUCUCUGUGCUCGCUUUCGAGAGAAGCAAGGCCAAUAUGAUGAGGGGAAAGGGGGACAGAAUUUAAAUAAUCUCCUGCAAUUCCAGAGGCUUGACAACCCAAAGACUGCAGGGAAGGCUGGACACAGACUGGAAUCUGCUGACAAGUUGUAAGGUCAUCUGGUAACAUAAAUCCUGACUCCGGGAGGUCAGUAUUUUCCUAAGACCAUCAGCUGACAAGGUUCCCUGAGCCACAAAUCCAGGAGCUGUGCUGCAGAGGUAUCCAGUGGGGCUGGACUCCAGACAAUCCAUCAAUUUCUGCAUUAUGUCCUGCUGUGGUUGCCUAUAAUUGUCUCCAUUUGCUUUAAAAAAGAUCCUUCUUUGAUUAAGGGUGAUAGUUACACUUGUCUGUGGGUAUAAGAAUAGGACUUAAAAUGUAGCUAAAGAAUUAUGCUGGUCUACCAAAAACUUUCUUCUAAGAUACAUGACCUUAUUAGCCCUAGAAAGUUGACUAAGUUCCUAGUACCAGGUACAAUUUACUUCCUGUUGAGUAGGCCUUUAAAGGCACAUAGGUAUCUGGUGGUUACUACCAAUAUGUGAGUGCCACUAUUGCAUCUUUAAGGGAUAGCUUGCCAUAUUGGUCAUUGUGGUUCAGAUUUGUCACAACUGAGUAGGACUAUUAAUUGCCUCUCUUUUGGGAGAUUUUACAGUAUUUUCUGAUACCAUGGAAUCCAUACCACAUGAAUAAGGCUUUCAAGUUAGAUUCAAGGCAAAUAAUCGAAGCCUUGUGUACCAGUAACAUCUUCAGCAUUAGAGGAUUAGCUUUAAUCUUUGAGAGGCGCUGUAGGGCAACAAUAGCUGUGCAUUGUUUUGGGACUCAUUGACUACCUACUCAUUGACUACCCUGACCACUUGCUAGGAGGUUUCUCAUGACUUAUACUGGGGUUGUUGUUAAUCUAUGGUUCUUGUAUGAAACAUUGUCAACCCAACACACACACACACACACACACACACACACACGCACGCACGCACGCACACACACACACACACACACACGCGCGCACGCACGCAUGCACACACACACACACACACACGCGGGGUUAUAUAACAUGCUAACAUAACAUGUUAGCAUUUAUCAAUAUCAAUUUACAAAAACAGAUGUCUUUCCAUUUUCCAGUGUCUUUUUUAGUACUUUUCUUCAGAGAUUAAAGAUUUCAUAACAGAGUUCUUCCACAACUUUUUCAGGCUUACUAUAAGUUAUUCGGUUGUCUUUGAUGCUACUAAAAAUGGAAAUGUGUUCAUGAUCUCUUUCUGAAUGUGUUAUUAAUGUAUAUUUAAAAACAUCUAUGGACAUU
rnacentral:sRNA from 1 species